rnacentral:rRNA from 1 species
ACAACCUACGGGACGCAGCAGUGGGGGAUAUUGCACAAUGGGGGGAACCCUGAUGCAGCGACGCCGCGUGGGUGAAGAAGCGCCUCGGCGCGUAAAGCCCUGUCAGCAGGGAAGAAAAUGACGGUACCUGAAGAAGAAGCCCCGGCUAACUACGUGCCAGCAGCCGCGGUAAUACGUAGGGGGCAAGCGUUAUCCGGAUUUACUGGGAGUAAAGGGGGCGCAGACGGCGCUGCAAGCCAGGAGUGAAAGCCCGGGGCCCAACCCAGGGACUGCUCUUGGAACU